GGCGGGAGGCGCGGGGCGCGUCGCGCCUUCCCGUGGUGCCGCGCGGCGAGCGGCGGCAGGAGCGGCCGCGACUCCAUCCGGGUCUCGGCGCGGCUGCGGGUCACCCUGCGGCAGACUAACUUGAAGGCCCGGAAGUGCCGCCCCCGGCCGCUCCUGAUUGGCGGCCUGGCUGCGUCGCCCGCCGGGGAUUGGCUGCGGAUGCCGUCAGCGUCGGGUACGUCACUUCCGCUAGCAAGUGUGUGGGCCGCGGAGACCUUGGCCUCGGGGGGGCCCGGGCCGUGCGGGCAGCGAGCAGUCGGAGCCCGGUGCACCCGGGGGAGGCGGCUGAGGGUCGUCGCGGGCCGCGUGCCUCAGGCGGCGGCGGGAAGGGGCGCGCGGUAAUACGGCAGCCACACGGCAGUGGAACUCUUAAGGUCGGGUCAGGGCGGAGCGGCGGCCGGCCCCGUGCUGGUAGCAGGCUUACGGAGCCUAACCGCGCUGCGGGCCGUGGGGAAACGUGGCACCAUGCCCACCUCCCCAGGCCUUAUUUGUGGUGUGGGAGUGGGAACUUAGACCAGUGCUGGAGGUUACGUUAAGCUUCGUUGAUAGAGCUGCCUUCUGCACAUCUUUUGUGGUUCUCUUUAAUAGCACUAUUAGUGCAGGCAGUUUUCUGGCUAACAAUAGGAGAAACAGGGAAGCUGCCUCACUUAAAACGUACACAGUGACCCUGAGGAACAGCGCCUGACAACAUAGGGUCAAAGCCAGUGCAUAAUCCGAACUUGGGAAGAUGGCUCUGUCCUUUCAGAAUCAAUAAUAUUUUGUCAGUUAGCAAUAUUUGAUGAAUAGGGCAUUCCUCCUACUCUUUCAAGUAGGUGAGCAGCCCCCAGGGGCACUGUGCCCAUGUGACACUGUGUUGUUGGACAGCCCCAGCUCCCUGGGCUCAUUGCAGCUGCCACUCCAGCCCCUGCAGCAUUUCUCCCGUAACCAGCUUUCAAGAAGAAAUUUAAUAACUUUUUUGUUUUUGCUGUAUAGUAGCUAUCUUCAUGAAAAUGACCUUAUUAAUUAGUGGUACUGGGGUUGAUACUUUUAUAAAUCUGUUCACCAAAUAUCUUAAAAUGAAAAAUCGAUGCACAUGAGUUGUAUUAUGAAGUUAUUUUGCAUAAUAAGGCCAGAGACUUGGCAGAAGGAAACAGACACAUCAUCCCAUUACUUCGUCUCUAUUGCUACUACCAGGCAAUACCCUUAUUUUCACUUUCCUUUUGAUAAAUGCCUUCUGUAUUUUCCUCUGUUGUUGGCACUGGAAGCAUUAUUUCAUUUGCAGAUAAAAGGCUCUCAUGAUCUAUAAGAGGCAACAGAUGUCAAAUUAUGCUGUGUAUAAUAUAAUGUAACACAGCAUUAUUGGAAACGUUCUUAUGUGUACCAACUUGAUUAUUUGCUGAAUUGGUGUAAUUAUUAGUUACAUUACUGUGCAACCUUUAUGCAAAACAAACUGGCUGUAACAUGCUGUUAAUAGGUAAAAGGGCUUUCUUAGUUGCUAUUCUAUGGACAAAAACAACCAUUACUAAAUGUUUUGGUAAAUUCAAAUGUUACCAAUAAAGUAUCAGUAAGUUUUCAUCUUUAAAAAACAAUCCUAUCUUUCUUCCACUUUUCCCUUCAGUUAUCUGCAUUCUGAUAAACUGGGUUUGUUGGAACAAAAACAUUGCCUGCAUGUCCUAAGAGACACAGAUCUAGUGAAUAAAUACACAUGCAUUAAUUGGUAAAUAAAAUGCACAUUCCUGUUUGAAGCAGGAUCAAACAACUGAAGUGAUGAUUUCCAUUGAGAAAUGCCUUGAGAUCCAUGUGGCAUUUGGAGCUGUAGCUAAACUGGAUCGUGCUCAUAUACACGUUUCUACUACCAGUGUACUGAAUGCCAAAUGUAUUCAGAAGGAUUCGUGAAAAUAAGACAUGUUAGUGUCGCUGUUUUCCUUGCUACAGUGCAUUAAUUCAUGUUGGUGAGGCUCUUGCCAGCACUGUAUGCUACUGUAUGCUAAGUACUUAGUGGACGCUGAACGUGAAAUAUGAAAGCCUGAUGUUUCUGUCACGUAACAUGCCUCAAUGAACAGGAUCCAGCAUUCACAUCUGCAAAAGAUGAAUUCAGAUUGCAUGUUACACACAAGUUUUCUGUUGCAUUUUCAGUAUACUCCCAACAUCUUUACAUAGAUCAGUGGGUCUGUGUAUGCAUGCACAGAUAUACAUACUUACAAAGUAUUUGUAAAAGCUUAGAAGCCUCAACAGGCUUUUUUUCCAUUCUGCUUUGUCCUCUGAAAUAGUGCAGGUGCUUUGCUCUUUUGCAGUUGUGCAGUAGUAAAUAAGAAACCCUGGCUUCUGCACUUCAACACUUAAUUAUGCACGGAUUUUGUGCUCUUUAGCACUUAAUUAUGCAAUGAUUUUGACACUCAGCACAGUCUCUUUUUUUUUUCCUCUUUUUUGUUUGUAUCAAACACUAAACUAUUUAAAAAUAAUACCAGGAAUCUAAUUGGAGAAGAGUGUUGCUGUAUAUGUAUACAGCAAGAGGCAAUUUCUAAAUGAUAAGUAACUGAAAUGCAUUAAUAGUACUUAGUUUUGAAUAGCACAGAAAGGGUUAAAUUUAGAAUAUGUUGCAUUCAUUUAUAUAGUUUGCUUUUAGAACUAAAGAAUUACGCUCACUUAGAUGCAGAUAGUUUAAUACUAAUGUAAAAAUUGAGUACACGCAGAGGAAGUUGCUAGAAUUUGCAUUCCUAUCAUGCUUAGUUUGUGUUCAAAAUUAUUAAUCAUGAUCACAUACUUUACUUUUCUGAAGGAGAUGUGCUUCAUUCCGUGCAUGAGUGGGCAGUAGUGACUUCUAAUUCCUUUCAAGCUGUGUUUCUGGAUAUUUAUAUUCCUUCUGUAACGACAUGGUCAGAAAAAUAAAUGAAAAUCAAACAUGAUAAUUGAAAAUGGAACAAACCAGCAAUAUUUCAUGUUUAUAAUUAUUCAAAACCAGAAUGCUUUAUAUUAAAGCAAUUAAAUGUAAGUAGGAUGUAGAUUUUUUGAAAAAGCUUGGCAUUUCCGAUGGAGACACUAGAUAAAGGCGUUAUUGAUGACAGUCAAAGGUAUGAAUCUUAUGCUGUUGUGUGAAAAAUACCAGGAAGCACUAGAGUGGGCACAUAUUCCUGCCCAGCUGCAUGGAUUUUGGUGCUGCUCAUAUUUGGAGUUAAAGCACACUUAUGAUUUGUAUGGCGUGCACAAUUUACACUUACUCCAGUGUAUUGCUGCUAAAUCGACUACCGUGUCCAAAAAGAGGUUCUAAAUUGUAAGGUUUUGGGCAUGAGCAGGUGACUCUUAGAAAGGCUUCUGGCCUUCAUCGCCAUGCCUUAUGUUCUGAUUAAAGCAUGUUUGCUUUCUUGGAUCGGGCCUAUUUUCACUGCAGGUGAAUUUGCUUGGCACAAGGGAAAAAACAAACACAUCUGGUUUAGUCCUAACCUUCAUACAGGAUUUGUUUGUUUGUUUUAAACUUAAAGCUUUGACUUUUCUGCUGUACUUAAUUUUAUCCACUGAGUUUUUUAAAGUUGAAUUUAAGAAUUAGAUUGAAGUAAUCUUUGGUAACAAGCUGUGUACAAAUGGUUGCCAAAUGGUCUUUUUGUAGAAGGAUGCAUUCUAUAGCAUUAUAUACCUCAAAAUAAUGCAUCUUUUUUAUCUCCACACCACAUACAGCAGAGGUCAGUAAAGCACAGUUGCUUCUACAAACACAUUAUCAGCUUGAAGUUAUUUCUUCUGCGCUGCAAAAUUGACAAAAUCAAGUGGGAGAAUAAAGUAUUCAUCUUUUAGGAUCACAUGAAAUGAAAUGGAACUUUCAUUAUUUCCCCACGUUCACAUUUUGUCCCUUCAGCAUGGUGAGGGAUACAAACUGUAACUAUUGCUUGAGCAAUUUUUCCCUCUCUUUCAUAGGUUACAGGCUGAUUAAGAGUGCUGGUGUUGUAGUAUGUGCUACUAAAUGAGAACGUGUAAAUUCCAGAAGUUUUUUUUUCCUGUAGAGUUUAGAACAGUUUUAGAGGUUUUAAGCAUAUACAGGUAAUUCAGGAAACUCAUGGGAAGCAUACUUCAGAAAGCUAGCACCUGUUCAGAUCCUACUAUUGUCACUUCUCUUAGAUGCUAAGUAGGAGUAAGGCUCUAUCAAGACGAGCACGGUAUUAAUAAAAAGGGAAAUACAAUCCAAAACUGAAUAGAGAAGAGUUUUUAAUUCACACUAACUAAAGCUUUCGUUUCAGUAAUUAUAUGAUCUUAGACUCUUUUGGAAGGAGCAAUGAGAUAUGGACGUAGUGUGUGAUGGUAGCGUAGGGGCAGCUGAGGGGAAGCACCAUGGAGGAUAAUUAAGUUUGCAUCAAUCACACUGUUGUGCCUCCAAUCCCCAAAAAAACAAGUUUGCAAGUCUGCACAUACUCACUGUGGAAGCUUGAUGUGCAGGGUCUUCAGGUGGGGCUGGAGAAAGUGGCAGAAAUUCCGUCACCAAAAGAGUCAGUGGGAGUCAAAGUACAGCUCCAGUGCAAGUGAUGCUACUGAAAUUAUGGGGCAGAAGUGUCAGAAAUUGGUGCUAGUGCUUGUAAUGUGAAUGCUAGAGCUCCAUCAUGUGGUUAAAGCUGUGCACUGUGCACAGGCUGGGCCCUCAGCCCUGGGUUGCCGUGGCCAAACCACUGGAAGCAAGUUUGGCAGUGAACUUGGUCAUCUUCAUUCGAUGCUCCAUGAUAGCUGCACAAUUAACAGUGCCAUCUUCUUCACUUCUACUACUUUGAGGAUUUUUAAAUACAAGCACGUGGUGACUGGAAAAAUGCUACUUCGAACACAGCAGUCGAUAAGGAAAACAAAUUAAAUUUGUACUUCUUAAUAUACAAAAAAAAUCAUUAAGUGUUUAUUGCUGAAGUAGUGAGCGUGCCGGUGGUAGCACAAACAGCUGUGCUGUACUCAGGCAUGAUAUCAUCAGCAUGGUGACUUCAGUGCGAGGAUGAAUGCCAUAGCAGAUUCACAUGAAGCUGAGAAGAUACCAAAUCAGUAGGGGCUGUGCCAGGAGUAUAAUUUAUCAGGCAUGUGGUACAUCAAGCUUCUCUGUCCGUGUGUGCCAGGAAUACGUAAUGUGUAACAUCAGGGAAGCCUGGCAGAUCUCAUUCCUUGAAAGGACAGUGCAACUUAGGUGAUAGCUUUUUAGAAGCUGUUAGAAAUAACAGUUAACUCCAGAACUGGUGUGAAGCACAACACUACUGGGCUAGACUUUGCAUGAAUGUCAUACAACACGUUCAAGAGACAGUUUGGACUAGAAUUGUUGAUUCUUUUUAAUUCUAUACCUUUCUAUUAUUAAACAGAAUAAUAGAAGAAGAUAGUAAGUACCUACCAGAGUAAUGUACCGUCAAUAAAACUGCUUUUCUCCAGUAGCUUAAAGACAGGAUACGUGAUGAUCUUUCAUAAGGCAUAUCUGUUGCAGAAUGAGGUUUUCCUAGUGCCCUGCGUGCACUUCACCAUCGAUCUGAAGCCAGACUAUUGCACAUAACCACAAGAUAACAAUUGGAUGUCAUUCAAAAUAUUUUUUCAAGGACAUUUUUGACCUUAAGUAAUAGAUAGCCCUUCCAGACCUGUAAUAGAUGAAAGGAUCUUGUUUCAGGAAGCCAAAAGCAGACAAAUGCUUCAGGAGCUGCACAUACCUAGCAGGAAAGUCUCACAGUAGCAGUAGUAAAGAGUUCAGAAGUUCCUAUAACAGAACUUAAUUGAGAAGUCCCACUGUCAGUAAAGGAAGUAAUAAUAAAAACUGUUAGGCUUUUAGCUAACUCCUUCUAGGAGUGGUGAAAUGCUACAGAUUGUGAUCUGUUCACUAAACUUAGUGUCCUUCUGGUUUCAUUUUAAUAAAGGAUGCUCACAAGUGUCCUACAUGUUUUAUACAUUUUAUAUUCUUUGGAUGCCUUUUUUGUGCAGUAGUAUCUGUUCAGUUUUUCCAAAGUGCUUAAAACAUUUUCAGUGCAGAGAAGCAGCAGCUUCAUCUUAAAGACCCACCUGAAUUGAAAUAUCUUAGACUUCAUGGAAUCCCCAAGUGACAAAGUGAAAACAGCAAGCCUGUGCUCUCUGUAGUGAGACUGGCUUGGGCAGAGGCCUCAGCAGGUGCCUCUCUGUGUAGGAAUGGGCUCCUUACAUGAAUCUGCUCAACUGUGGAAGGUUUGGAUGCAGGAGUAAGGAACUGUGAAAGGACUGUCAGCAUCCCUACUGAAUAUUUGCUUGACAGCAGGAUGUCUAACUGAGCUAAUUCAAAGGAUGUGAUAUGUGCCAGCACUUCAUCAUCAUUUGCCUUUGUCCCUGUGCUACUGUUGUAAUUUAUUUCUGUUUUGGACAUUAGGACCAACUGCUUGUGUCCAUCUGUGCAUGCUAAAGCAUACAUUCCAAUUUGUAACUGGUUACAAGGAAGAUUUUAAGAAUGAUUCACCAGAAUUUGUCAUCAAUAUUUGUACAAAGGAUUCUGGAGUAAAGCUUGGAGGGGGCUGGAAAGUACUUUCAUUUUUUUUCCUCUGUUCAAGGAAUAACGUCAUCCCUUUGUAUAUUAAUGCAUUGGAUCACGCGUUGUGUUUUUUGGCAAGGACAUUAACAUGCAUUAGGAGCUCUUGUUCUAUCAAGGCUUUGUUUGAUGACUGGUCUGAAAACCUCAGCUCCGAAUUCAGAUGAAGUAUUAGUAGGACAUGUAUUUAAUGUUUGAAAAUCUGUGCAUUUCCGUAAACACUUUCAGCUAUCUUAUAAAUUACAUUGCUAAAAGGAUCAGCUUUCCUCUUCAGCUCUGUUCUCAAGAUGUCCUUGCUAAGAAGGGGAUUGUAAGUCACAUCAGUCUGGCAAGUAUUUUGAUUUCAAUAUUAUAAGACUUUUUAGCUUGAGGUCAUGUUGAGCUCUGGUAAUGCAGAAGUUGGCUUUAAGGCUCUAUGAGGAGCAGUUAGAAGAGCCCAAUUGUUUCUGAUCUAAAGGCAAUGUAUAUUUUAAGUGGCCUUUUGAUAAGGUAGUUUAACUGUUAAUGUCUUAUAAGGCCUUAAUAAACUUACUAAAAAUAAUAUUUUAAGAACAGUGAUUAAGUAGAAUAAAAACUAGUGAUUUCUUAAGAAUUGUAAGUAUGAGGAUCUUAUACUGAUCCAUGUGAAUCAGCUGCAUAGUUAUAGUCCUAGCUUUUAUUACUUCUGAAGAUCUACAUAUCUGCAUAUGAUGUUUCUCAUAGACAUUUUCUUAUGAUUUCAGAUGAGAGAUUACAUCCGUGGAAUGCUAAUAUUAUUUUUCCUGUAACAGACAAGUUUAAUGACUAUAGUUGCUAUGACUGCUACAGCUUGCUAACUGCCUAAAGAUGAAAUACAUUAAGACCCAAACAGUUGGUAAACUUUUGAAAUGAAGGAAUCUUAUCUUUACAGUAACUUGACUACACGACUGGGGAGAGAAUAGAAUUUUUUUUUUUUUUUCCUGUGACCAGUAUUCUACACUGUAAAUGCUGUCUGCAGUUAGCAGAAGUUGUCUUUAUUAAAGCACCAUUCUUUGGACAUCACCUCUGAAGAUGCCUGCACUGUGGGAUGAGGUAGUAGGUUGUAUAGUUUUAGGGUCAUACCCGCAACUGGGAGAUAACUAUACAAUCUACUGUCUUUCCUAAAGCAGCAGAAAAUCAGCAAUGGAGACUGUUCAAUUUUAAGUUCAAUGUCAGAUUCUACCGAACUUCUGUACUGGGAGUGUUUAUUAUAGGAGAAAGAUAUUUCUGCAGCACCUACAGGUAAUUACUUCUAGGUUUUUCUAAUUCUCUAUAUUAACUUUUCUUCUCUAAGGAUAAAAGUGUAAGAAUAGAUCGACUCCUUUAAAGUGGGGUAAUCAUAUACAAAUGGUUGAUGUUCUAAUAAGUUGUGUUAACAUUGCUAACUGAAGCAUCAAAUAUUAAUACUCUAGAAUGAGACUGUGGUUAGCUACUUCAGCAAAGGGCUUAAGUGCAUGCUUCUCUGUCAGAGUGAGGUAGUAGAUUGUAUAGUUGUAGGGUAGUUAUUUUACCCUGUUCAGGAGAUAACUAUACAAUCUAUUGCCUUCCCUGAGGAGUAAAACAAACUGCGGUCCUUUGCAGUCAUUUGUUUCCACAUUUGGUAGAUUUGUCACAUAAGCUUAGGGUUGUGAAGUAUCAAAUUAAUCCUGCAACUUCUGUCACUGAUUAACAAUCAGUUUGAAUGGUGCAAACCUGAAAUGGUAUUUGACUAAUAUGACUUAUCUUCCAAGGUGAACGGCACAUCGCUGUCUGGACAUCAACAAUGCAUCUCUCAGUAGAUACAGAAUGGAAUAUACCAUAGACUAGAAAUCAUUCUAAAACAGUUUGGUUUUGUAUCUAGAAAGUAGUUGUGGCUCAAGCUUGUACAUUGUGACAUAAACUGUUUUAAGACACCAAUUUCUGUAAUACAUUAACAUUCCGUGACUGUUUAGUAGAAGCUGGAAAACUUACAGUUAUACUUCAUUAAUAUGUCUGCUUAUUUUUCUCUAGCUCUUCCAGCAAGUGAGACUUAAACAAUGUAAUACAAAGUUUAAAGCAUUGAACAGCCAAGAUUGACCCCUUCAACUGUUUAGGAGAAUGUAAAGUUAUGAGGUUUGAGUGCCCAAGAUCCAGAAUUGUAACUUUUGUCUGAAGAGGUGACUGUUUUUAUAAGAAGACAUUUAAAAGCUUACUGUGUUCUUUUUCCCCCCUUAAGCCCUAGGUGUACCCCAUCUAGCUGCUUCUGCCCUAGAGUGACCAGCUAACAUCCUCCUAUAACAACAAGAGGAAAACAGCAUGAAAAUACUUUUUGGGACUGAAAGUUUAGCAUAGUAAGAGUGAAAACGGAGCCAUUCACGACUAUUUAAGCCAGGAGCAUUACUGGUUAACCACUUAUUAAACAGUGCUAACUAAACUUGUAGUACAUGCCCUGGCCUAAAAAUGCAGAAGACCAAAAGCAGCUGGUAAGCUAAGCUGACUUGACAGAGCAGCUGCUAAGUAAGAAGAACUACAAAAAGGAAGCAUUGGGCUCCUAGGAAGAGGUAGUAGGUUGCAUAGUUUUAGGGCAGGGAUUUUGCUCACAAGGAGGUAACUAUACAACCUGCUGCCUUUCUUAGGGCUUUAUUCUUACACCAGGACCAUUUUGGCUGUGUCCUAACCUCUGCAGCUUUGGUAUGUGAAGAUGAGUGACAAGUUGUUUCUAAGCAUAUUGAGGUCUGAUGAAACUGGUGUCACAGCAAGUUUGGUACCAGACAAGCGUAGUACUAUUAACUGGAAUUCAGUACUGUGAAACACUGCAUUUCAGGGCACAUGUGUCAUUUUCAUGACAUUAGUGUUGUGAUAGCCUGCAAAGAGAACACUGAAGAAAUUCCAAGAGUAUGAUCAAAUUCCCUACAAUUAGGAUGGAGGUGCUACAUACUAAUUAACAUUCAGUUAAGUGCUAAUGCUAUGUACUCACAAACAGGCAGCUAUAAUACACCUUUGGCUUUGUGGAUUUUCACGUUGAAAAAUUGAAGUUUCCAAGGAUCAACUUUCAACUCACCUGAAAGCUGGUGGGUUCCUGAAAGCAGGAGUAGGCUGUCCCGAUCAGUUGUGCUCUCAGGCAUGGAUUACUUGCAGUCCUACAGGAAAGUUUCAGUCAAAGUGAAUGACUGCAUAUCUGCUGUGUAUGAUGAAAAGUAGAUUUUUUUUCCAUGUAGUUACAGUGCAGUAGCACAGUGGUUCUGUUAAGGCUUCAUCCAGAUGUGCUCUUCUGUGGGACAUGGAGACUCUUAACUGUUGACCAUCUUGUAAGAUUAGUGGAUUAUGCUUACACCAGCCAGCAUUUAAAGCGCUGACAACAAGACAGAAUCUUAAAUAUUUUAAACAUAUUAAGAUGUUUAAAUGGAAAUCGUCUAUUAAUUUAAUUGUACACACUUGAUUUACUCAAUAAAAUACAGAAUUUUAUGCAACUCUUA